CAAUGACUCAAAGUCCAGAACGCAACUGGCUGAAACGCUGUGGUGGGACCUCAGGAGUGGACUGAAGCAACGCUGUGAAGAAGAGUGGGCCAAAAUUCCUCCACAAUGAUGUGAAACACUAAUAAAGUCAUACAGAAAACUAUUGCUUCAAGUUAUUGCUGCUAAAGGUGGUUCUACAAGUUAUUGGAUCACAGGCUGUUAUUAGUUUUGCACACAAUUAGAGAUGGCACGAUACCACUUUUUUAUGUCCGAUACCGAUACCGAUAUCAUAAAUUUGGAUAUCUGCCGAUACCGAUAUGAAUCCGAUAUAGUGUUUUUUAAUCAACAAAACUGUUUUUUAAAAUAUCUUGCUGCAUUUUGCAAGUCUGCAAGUUCAUACUCAAGUUUAAAACAACAACUACACUAAAGCUAUUCUGUUAUACCUGUAUACAAAAAAAAUAUUUCAUAGUUCAGCAAUACUGAUCAAUCUAAUAAACUUAGACCUACACCAUCCUCCCUAUUCUGGUAUUUUAAAGAGUACUUAGCGUAAAUAUUAAGCAACCUAACUAAUAGGGUUCCAACUCCCAGCAACAAAAAUAAAAAAAUAAAAAAUAGGGAACCACCCCUCACGCUCCACCUCAUGAUGCUUAAUCGACGUAAUCAACCUUAAUUUGAUAAAGUGUGAAAAAAAUGCACAGAAAUCAAUUAUUUUUCAAGAAAUAUUAAAUAGAUUCAACAUCUUUCUUCAACAAAAUUGUAGACUGCACAGAUGGUACCUUCCCAAAGGAAAAAGUACUAUAGCUUACUAGGGUAUAUAUAUUAGACUUAAUAGUCACUAUAUACAGUAAUUGACUUCUAUUCAUUUUACAUAAAAUUAAAACUUUGGGUGUCAGAUAAUUAUUUAUUAAAAGCUCGACAUUUUAAAUGAGAAUAAGAAAGAAAAGUAUGUCUUUGUGCCCCCUUUUCCCUGUUCAUGCCCUAUCGGCCCCCCUGGCUAAACUUUGCUAGAUCCGCCCCUGCACAGUUACAGCCGUAAGCUACGUAGAAAAAGAUCCUGGAGUAGAAAGUAAUAUUAAAUACAUUCUAACAACAGCUGAUCAAGCUUAAACGUGCUGCUGUUGUUCAGCCGCUGGUUUCCUCUUUCUGGUGCAAAGUGGGCCAAAAGCAAACUAGAGACACGGACUCGCGACAGAAAAGCCGAUCAGCUGAUCGUUAAGCAGUUUCGUGAUUGAAGUAGCAGCAGGAGAGGCAGUCGCUCCAUAUAUCGCUUGUUAAGCUUAAGGCAGGAAUGCUUUACAAACAUUCAGAGAUGGACUUACACACUUGCUUUACUUCUC
ensembl:lncRNA